UACGUAGGGUGCGAGCGUUGUCCGGAAUUACUGGGCGUAAAGAGCUCGUAGGUGGUUUGUCGCGUUGUUCGUGAAAACUCACAGCUUAACUGUGGGCGUGCGGGCGAUACGGGCAGACUGGAGUACUGCAGGGGAGACUGGAAUUCCUGGUGUAGCGGUGGAAUGCGCAGAUAUCAGGAGGAACACCGGUGGCGAAGGCGGGUCUCUGGGCAGUAACUGACGCUGAGGAGCGAAAGCGUGGGGGAGCGAACGGG
rnacentral:rRNA from 1 species